GACGAACGCUGGCGGCGUGCUUAACACAUGCAAGUCGAACGGUAAGGCCCUUCGGGGUACACGAGUGGCGAACGGGUGAGUAACACGUGGGUGAUCUGCCCUGCACUUCGGGAUAAGCCUGGGAAACUGGGUCUAAUACCGGAUAGGACUCCUGGCUUCAUGGUUGGGGGUGGAAAGCUUUGUCGGUGUGGGAUGGGCCCUCGUCCUAGCAGCUUGUUGGUGGGGUAAUGGCCUACCCAGGCGACGACGGGUAGCCGGCCUGGGAGGGUGACCGGCCACACUGGGGCUGGGAUACGGCCCAGACUCCUGCGGGAGGCAGCAGGGGGGAAUAUUGCACAAUGGGCGCAAGCCUGAUGCAGCGACGCCGCGUGAGGGAUGACGGCCUUCGGGUUGUAAACCUCUUUCAGCAUCGACGAAGCGAAAGUGACGGUAGGUGCAGAAGAAGGACCGGCCAACUACGUGCCAGCAGCCGCAGUAA
rnacentral:rRNA from 1 species